AGUGAACGCUGGCGGCAGGCCUAACACAUGCAAGUCGAGCGGCAGCGGGUCCUUCGGGAUGCCGGCGAGCGGCGGACGGGUGAGGAAUGCGUCGGAAUCUGCCUUUUUGUGGGGGAUAACGUAGGGAAACUUACGCUAAUACCGCAUACGACCUACGGGUGAAAGUGGGGGACCGCAAGGCCUCAUGCAGAAAGAUGAGCCGACGCCGGAUUAGCUAGUUGGCGGGGUAAAGGCCCACCAAGGCGACGAUCCGUAGCUGGUCUGAGAGGAUGAUCCGCCACACUGGAACUGAGACACGGUCCAGACUCCUACGGGAGGCAGCAGUGGGGAAUAUUGGACAAUGGGCGCAAGCCUGAUCCAGCCAUGCCGCGUGUGUGAAGAAGGCCUUCGGGUUGUAAAGCACUUUUGUCCGGAAAGAAAUCCAAUCGAUUAAUACUCGGUUGGGAUGACGGUACCGGAAGAAUAAGCACCGGCUAACUCCGUGCCAGCCGCCGCCGUAACAC
rnacentral:rRNA from 1 species